GAUGAACGCUGGCGGCGUGCUUAACACAUGCAAGUCGAACGGUGAAGGCGGAGCUUGCUCUGCUGGAUCAGUGGCGAACGGGUGAGUAACACGUGAGCAAUCUGCCCCUGACUCUGGGAUAAGCGCUGGAAACGGCGUCUAAUACUGGAUACGAGCUGCGAAGGCAUCUUCAGCAGCUGGAAAGAAUUUCGGUCAGGGAUGAGCUCGCGGCCUAUCAGCUUGUUGGUGAGGUAAUGGCUCACCAAGGCGUCGACGGGUAGCCGGCCUGAGAGGGUGACCGGCCACACUGGGACUGAGAUACGGCCCAGACUCCUACGGGAGGCAGCAGUGGGGAAUAUUGCACAAUGGGCGAAAGCCUGAUGCAGCAACGCCGCGUGAGGGACGACGGCCUUCGGGUUGUAAACCUCUUUUAGCAGGGAAGAAGCGAAAGUGACGGUACCUGCAGAAAAAGCGCCGGCUAACUACGUG
rnacentral:rRNA from 1 species